UAAAAAAAACCCCAUCUCAUCCCUCCGCUAAGAUCUAGAUCUAGCUCACUCGGCGCCUUUUUGUGAAUGUGGGUGUUGAGAUUUUUUUAAAGAUGAAUUCGAUACCGUCGUUGAGUGUCCUCUGACGUUUUUUUGGUUAGAAAAUGAGUUUGUGCCUUCGAUUUUGAUGUAGAAGAAAUUGAUAUGAUAUUAUUGUAGGCUUUCCUGUAUUUGAAUAUUAAUUCAUCACAUACGCUUGCUUAGCUUAUUAUUAUGGUAGACAAUGAUCUUUUUGUUUAAAAUUAUCUUCUUAAGUCUGCUCCGUAGAUCGGCGACCCUCUUGGCAUUUUGAUGGCCUAAUAUUUUGGCCGCCUGGACAAGCCUUUCGCCGUGCACAUAUUUUUUUAUAGUACUACCAUGGGAAAAUGGUAUUAACAUAUAAGAAGAAAAUAUGAUUGAUCCAUCGCUAACCACGGUGAAAGAUUAUAUAUCAUCAUUAUAACAGGUCAUGUAAUGUGCGGAUUGCCAUUAAAACUAAAGGGGCAAAAACCAUCGCUAGCUAGUUCGAGCCUAAUAUUACGGGGAUCCUGACUAAAUAUUGUGUGCAACUUAUCGAAAUCCUUCCAUGCUGGCGAAUAUCUUGGAUGACUCAUUUUACCAUGUUCACUUGGAAUAGCACGGUCAUGCCAAGUCAUUGCCACCGAUGUCUUCUUACACCUGUAGAGCCUCUGCAGUCUCUGUGUCACAGGAAAGUAUCGUACCACCUUGACUGGUAUGUCAUUCUUGUUAGCAUGUACUUUCUUCUUAUAUCUAGAAACUCCACAGUUAGGGCACUCUUUCAGUUUAGAAUUUUCUUUCCAGAACAGCACACAAUCAUUAGGACAUGCAUGAAUCUUCUCACAAUUCAAACCCAGAUCUGACAUUAUCCUUUUAGCUUCAUACCAGCUCUGAUGCACAUUGUUCCCCAGAGGCAUAGAAUCUUUCAGGAAUUUUAGAAGCAUCGUAAAUGACUUGUUGCUUCAUUUAUUUAGGCAUUUAAUCUGGAAAAGUUGAACGAAUCAUGAUAGUGUGGAAUAUUUUGCAUUCUCAUAAAUUGGUCUUUUGGCAUCUUUCAUGUACUUCUCAUACUCAUGUACAUGUUCUUGUCCGGAAGGAUGAUCAUCUUCAGCAAGAUUGGAGUCAUCAAAAGCAACUUCUAUCAUUUCCUCCAUCUCCUCUUCUGGAAAUAAAUUUUCUUCAUUGUCUUCUUCUUCAUUAUCAGUAAUAUUAGGAGCUAGGAUUUCUCCGUGAUAUACCUAAAUUGUAUAAUCCUUAAUAAAACCAUGCUUAACAAUGUGAAGUUCUACAUCUUCCUCCUUACGAUGCAGUCUAUUCCAACAAUGACUACACGGACAAAGAAUCAUCCCAUAUUGGAUCAUAUCGUGUUCACGCACAAAAUUUAUGAAAGAGGCAACUCCUUCAAUGAAUUCAGGCUUUGUGCGUUUUUCACGAUUCACCUACAUCCAAUCCUUAACUCUGAUAUAGUUACGUGCCAUACCAACCUAAAUUAGUCAAAGUUAGCGAUAAAAAUUCUUAGAAAGUAAAUUUAGCACAUUAAAAAUGUGACAAGAUCAAAAUAAAGAUAAACAAGUUUCAAGAAAGUAAAUUGUACAAUUUAGCUUAGCAAGACUUUGCAAAGCACACAGACCAGGUUAAUUUAAUUUACAAUGGGUUGCAACCGGUAAAUAUCAUUCAUAAAAUGCAAUACCAAUUCAUAAUGACUAAAUAUGUAAAACUGACAAUUCUUGAUACUACAACUAAGCAAUAAGCAUACUAAGUAGAGAUGUCCUUGUUUAGCUCAAGAAACAUGAAGAAUGUCAGAUAGGGAUAUGCAAAGUUCUUGGAAUAGAAAGUUACAAUAAUAUACAUCUAAAAUAAUAAACAUAAAAGAUGUCCCAUGGACUGAGAGUUACUGUCCAUGGGAAAUGCAAAGUUCUAUUAAAUUGAAGCAAUAAAAAAAGAGAUUCAAAAAAACAGUGGAUAAACUAAAGACCUUUUGUUGAAAAAACAGUGGAUAAAAAAAGAGUUACUGUCUUUUUAAUUUUUCAAGCUUUGGGAAGAAAACACAGUGAGCCAAACCAAUCACAGUGUGGCGACUCGAAAGAAAAUAGAAAUCAUCCAAGGUUUCCAUAAGCUAUUGACCUUUUGUUGAUAAACUAAAGACCUGCAUGCUUAGCUUCAAUAUGAAAUUCUAUAGAGAACCAUGCUAGCUAUUAACAAUAGAGCAGAUUCUCAUCAGAUCUAAUGAUAGGACAGUGCAUUAAUUAGUUCGAUAAGGUUCUGUGAAGCUUAAAAUACUACUAAUCAUACUACUAAUCUAAGAUAAUAGAAAUUAAUGGUUAGAUUCAAGCUCAGCAUGCCUCAAGGAGCACAUGAUAUUGGUCUAAUGUACAACGAGGAUUUCGUACAAUGGACCACAAAUCAUAAAAUUUUUUCUUUAAUCAACUGAAACUAUGGGCGCUUGCUAAAACCUAGAUACUAAUUAACAUAAGAAGAAUCCAAUGAUCAUAUAUGUAUCAUUAUAUCUCACAAAGUUGUCAUAACCUUCCAGUGUGUCCAAGGGGGAAGCAUUGCUUCGUUCUGGUAGUAAGUAAGAUGACAUUUGGUUGGAAAAAAAAGGAGCAAGGGCUACUAGUUCGGCAAGCCAGGAGAGGAGGGAGAAAAAGGCACACAAAAACUUGCAAGGGAGAACACCGACACACUGAUCUAUUAUAUCUACAACCAUCACAUCAGAACCUCCAUCCAUGCUUUCGAGCACAGAAGAACCUCGCAACAUUCAGCAUGAAUGCAAUCCUUCCAAAGUUGACGCAAAUCUCGUAUAAGAAUCAAUUUGCCAAAUUCCCCAAAUUGUUGCUCUCAUGAAACAACUCUCAGGUUAAACAUAACCUGAAAGAAUCAGUCAACAUUAAACAAAGGCAAACAAAAUAAUUCACCUCAGCAAGAAUUGCAAGUUCAAAUUGACAUCACCACACGCACAAGAGGUCACAAAAAAGCUGCGCGUAAUAAACUGCUGAAAAUAAACAUAACCAGAAUCCGUGUAUCAUAACAAUCACCAACCAAAUGUAUCUCAUACAGCCUAAACACUUAGAAACAUGUAAUCAUCAACGAUCCAGCGACUACUACAUAUUAUCCCCUUUCCACCCUUCCUCAACCAAAGAAUAGUAAUUUAUUUCAGAUUGCCCCCCACCUCGAAACUUUUACAACAAGACAACCAGACUUGAAAAGUAGAAGCAAAGGCAAAGAGCUCCCGAUCUUGCUAAUUUUAAAAAGGUUUUAUGAAUUAUUUUCUCUUCUAUAUCACACUAAAACCAUUGAUCCUCAAGUAAAACACAAACUUUGAAUCUUCAGUCAAACUAUAGCACGCCUAUUGGGACCAUAUAGAAGAUAUUAGCUUAAAAUAAACAAAGCUAGCGUUUGAAAAGAUUACCCGACGGAAGCAGCGGUAAACUGAGGAUUUAGGGCGAAAAUGAGGAAGAACUCCGAUUUAGGGUUUUUUGAUGGGAUUCGACGGUAAACUGGAGGAUCGACGUCGGUGGUGAACUUCAGGGCUCGAUGGCGGCGGAGAACUCUGACUGAGGCGGCGAACUCUGACGGAAGCGACGAGUUCAAAAAAACCCUAGUUCAGGGCUCGAUGCAGGUUCGACGGUGGCGGCAAACUCCGACGGCAGUGGCGAGAGAGAGAAAGAACGGUGGUAAUUUCUGGUUUCUGAUGAGAGAGAGCGAGAGAGAAAGAGCAAGAGAGAGAGAGAACGGGCGAGAGAGAAGCAAGGGAGAGAGAGAGAACGGUAGUUUUGUGGGGAUUUCCUAAAAAUUCUUCUCUUUUUUGGCGAAAAUAUGGGGGUAAAUUUCCCUCCAUCAGGCGUUUUUGGCUAAAUAAACUUGCCCCAAUGGUUUAAACCGUUGGGGCAAGUGAAACCCGCCCCAACGGUUCUAUACACCCGUUGGGGCUGGGCAUCCUUUUACUAGUGAUUGCAUCCAUUCCUAAUUUGCACUCAAAGAAAAAAUCAUAACCAUCAACUAGAUAAUUAAUGAUUGUGAUUAUGUAGUGGUCCCUCCACUAUUUUUUAGAUAGUGGAGAGGAUCCGAAUCCCUUUGCCGCACCCCGUAUUAUUAACUACAAGUUACCUGUCAGGAUUGCUGAUUUAGCUCUCUCUCGUCACCCCAGACAGAUCUCCUCCUCCUACAGUCUGGACCUCCCACAUACAAUGCAAAUCAGCUGCAUAAUUUCUAAAUAUCAGUACCGUAACCACAAGCUCCCCUACCAAAUUAAGCCUUAAAACCUCGGUCUUAUACCUUAAGGCUGCGUUUGGCAAGGGUAUAAAGGAGGAGUUAAGGGGGUUUAACCCUUCAUUAAACUGCCAAACACAAAAAAAAAGCCCAAGGACUAACAAACCCGCACGUGAGCGUUUUAUCCCAUUUAACCCGUUAACCCAAGGGUUUACUAAUACUCGUGAGAAGGCGGAACAAGACUUGUUCAGCCUUCUUACGCGAGGGUAGCCAAUGGAAUUUAGGAAAAAUUGAUUUCAUCUGGAUCUUUUGAUGGCCGGCUGCGGAAUUCGGUAGCAAAAAUCGGAAGGUAAGAUCUUGAGAGAUCUCUGUAAAAAAAUUUCCCAAAUGUGUUUUCCUCUUUUUUUUCCCUCCAAAAUUUCCCUCUAAUAUUUCCUUCUACUUUUUUUCACCUGGGAGAUCUUUCACAACUAUUAAUAUGGAUAUUUUAUGGGGAACAAUCAAGAAGAGGAAAAUUUUCCGCCGAUUGGGAGCAAUUGGUGACGGGAGGCAAAGGAUCUGAGAUGAAUUCAUUUGAAGAUAUUGCAAGCGAUCUUAGUGUUGAUGAUAUUGAACUACUUGAUGACGAAGAUGAUCUAAUAGAGGCAUUGUUUUUGAAUGAUGAAGAUGAGGAUGAGUACAUGUGGAACGAGAUGAUUACAAGUGUCAUUAAUCAAUCAAAUGUGAUGAAGCAGGUUCCUCGUCCAUGUCGAACUAGACCAUUCUCUGGUCAUAUGCUUGUAGAAGAUAUGUUGGCUGGACAUCAUGAUCGUUCAUAUUCUUGCUUCCGAAUAAGUUCCGAGACAAUUUUUUUUGCUAAAAAAUGUUCUCAUUAAGAAGAAUGCUUUAAGGCUAACUAGAUAUUUAAGCUGCAAUGAGCAACUAUGUAUAUUUUUAUAUGGAAUUUCACAUGCCCUUUCAAAUCGAGUAUUAGCUGAGAUAUUUCAACAUUCAGGAGAGAUUAUUAGCAGGCAUUAUAAUAAUGUGCUUAAUGCUACAUUAUCUUUGAAACAAGAUUAUAUCCAACUUCUCAUGGCUGACGUAGACGUUCAUCCUAAGAUACGAGAAAAUCCCAAUUUCUUCCUAUACUUCAAGGUAGAGCUCUUAACAUAUAUUUUAUGAAAUCUUUUUCAAUGUGUAUGUGUGUAUUUUUAUCUGUACAUAGAACUUUAUAUUUUUUUUUAUAUUUGCAGUAAGCAUUGGGAGCAAUUGAUGGAUCUCAUAUUCCUGCAAUUGUGAAGAAAAAGAAACACAACAUGUAUCGUAAUCGAAAGAAUUUCAUAUCUCAAAAUGUAAUGGCAGCAUGCUCCUUUGAUCAUACUUUUCUUUAUGUUGCUGCUGGAUGGGAGGGAUCAGCAUCUGAUAUGUCAGUACUUCGUGCAAUACUGGAAGAUGGUCGUUUUUACUUAGUUGACUCGGGAUAUGCUAAUACUUCAAAAUUUAUCGCCCCAUAUUGUGGAUCACGCUAUUAUCUUGGAGAUUUUACAAAUGGGACCACCAGAGCCUAUCAAGAUACUAAAGACAAAUAUAAUCAUAGACAUGCACAACUACGUAAUGCAGUGGAAAAGGCAUGGGGAAUUUUAAAGCAAAGAUUCAAAAUUUUGAAAGUUCCAGCUCCAUUUCCUUAUAAAACUCAAGUCAAAAUCUUUGUAGCUUGUUGUGUUCUUCAUAAUUUUAUUGCAAGGCAUCAGGGAAAUGAUAAAUACUUUAAUAUGCUCAAUGGAUUAGAGAUGAAUGAGGAUGAAGAUGAGGAGGAAGAAGAAGACCCCCAAUACAUUGUUGAUGCAGAUGAAAGUAUAAGGGGGGAGCAGCUUCGCAACAGGAUUGCUUUACAGCUUUGGAAUAAUUGAUAUAUGUAGUUGUCGAAUAUUAAAGUAUAAGUAGUGCAUGUUUGAUUGCUAAGUUUUUUGGAAUAAACCUGUAGUCAAUAUGCAGGAGCUGGUUAUUUUGCUAUUUCACUUUGUUUGCUUAGCUCCUGAGUAUUAUUAUGUAAUACGUUUGAUUGCUCAAGAACAGAAUGAAGUAAAAUUUAGUGCCAAGUGGAUGGUAUCAUCAAGUCCAUAAUUUGGUAA